rnacentral:tRNA from 1 species
UGUGACUCAAUGGUAGAGUGCUUGCCUAGCAUGUGUGAGGCCCUGGGUUCAAUUCUCAGCA